AUACAUACUAUAUACACAAACAUACAUACAUACAUUCUGUGUGUGUGUGUGUGUGUGUGUGUGUGUGUGUGUAU